AUUGAACGCUGGCGGCAUGCCUUACACAUGCAAGUCGAACGGCAGCACGGGAGCAAUCCUGGUGGCGAGUGGCGAACGGGUGAGUAAUAUAUCGGAACGUGCCCAGUCGUGGGGAUAACGUAGCGAAAGCUACGCUAAUACCGCAUACGAUCUACGGAUGAAAGCGGGGGAUCGCAAGACCUCGCGCGAUUGGAGCGGCCGAUAUCAGAUUAGGUAGUUGGUGGGGUAAAGGCUCACCAAGCCAACGAUCUGUAGCUGGUCUGAGAGGACGACCAGCCACACUGGAACUGAGACACGGUCCAGACUCCUACGGAGGCAGCAGUGGGGAAUUUUGGACAAUGGACGAAAGUCUGAUCCAGCCAUUCCGCGUGCAGGAU
rnacentral:rRNA from 1 species